UUUUGUGUCUUGAUAUUCUUUUUAUGUAUUUAUUCUUUAUUUACACUGCUUGCCAAGAUUACUUCUGCCUCUUCAACUUUUUCACCUUGUAAAAACCACAAGGGACUUCUGUGAAAAUAUAGAUUCCAGAAUAUAUGCAGAAAAGCUGCUAUUGUGAAUUGUUUAAUACAUCAUACCUAAGAUACUCGAACGAUUGCAGCUUUGGAAGCUGAAAUACCUCUGUGCAAUGCUACUUCAGAUCCGAUUGGCUGGAGUUUGCAAGGCAGCCAAUCUAGAACCACCAUUUAUUUUUCCUUUGUGCUGAUUGACUGUAUCCACAAGACCAGAGAUACCGGAGAGUUUGCAAGCGUCAUGGUGCUCUUCAGAGCGUCAUGCUCUUCAAAGCGUGCACAGGGUCAAAGCCCCUGCUGACCAACAUGAAUGUUAAAACAUCCAUAAACCAUGACUGCUAACACCCAAUCAGCCAUGGGAAGGUAUCAAAUACAGAUAUUGCCAGAAUUAUAAAUCAAGACUGACCACCAAAACAAAAUGGCAGCACAACGCAGAAGAGCAAACAACCUCUGAAGUCUUAAAUAAUAGCCCAGCCCUCAUGAGCCAGCUGACCAGCAUCAACCUGUUGGCGAAAGUAGAUGAAAAGCCAAGUAUUUCAAAUGUAAACAUGUUAAUUUCACUGUUCUCCCAAGCAUGACAAAGGAAGGGCCAACUCAAUGCUCACGUAGCACCGUAGUGAAAACCUUGACCUGUACAGUGAUGCACACAGGGUCGGUUGUGGACCAUGGAAAUAAGCUGCAGUCUCCACCACCACAGCGCCGCCUUGACGGAGUCCCUCCACUUUCUGCAGCCGCUGCCGUCACAGAAAAACUCAGGUAAGAGAUUUACUAAACAAAACAGUGUCCAAAUAGGAGAGCAAGGAAAACCAAAAGAGCGAGAGAAACAUUAUAAGACCUCUCCCUGUGUUUACCUUCGCAAUUUUGUCCAAUUUGUCUAAAUUGCUUAGCUGACUUCUAUGAAAAAAAAAAAAAUACAUGUUUAAUGUCAAAAAAAAAAAAAA